UACAGAGGUCUCAAGCGUUGUUCGGAUUCAUUGGGCGUAAAGGGUGCGUAGGUGGCGGGGUUAGUCAGGUGUGAAAUCUCGGGGCUCAACCCCGAAACUGCACUUGAUACUGCCGUGCUUGAGGACUGGAGAGGAGACUGGAAUUUACGGUGUAGCGGUGAAAUGCGUAGAUAUCGUAAGGAAGACCAGUGGCGAAGGCGGGUCUCUGGACAGUUCCUGACGCUGAGGCACGAAGGUCAGGGGAGCAAACGGG
rnacentral:rRNA from 1 species